UCAUUAUUAAUCAAGAUUAGUGGAAGCUCCUUUGGUCCAAUAAUUGACGAAGGGUUCAUUAAUGUUUCUAUACCAAAAAGUAGAGGUUUGAAUUUCAAUUACUGCGAUAUAUUAGCAAAUUUGCAGAUUAAUGGAGGUAAGUAUGCAAGAGAUCUACAACAAAAUACAAUUCUAACCAUUCGUUAAGAUUUUACACAGAGAAGAUAUUGAAAGUGUCCAUCAAUCACAUGAAGAAGAAGAAUAAUGUGUGGUCUAUCGUGAAUCUAAUAAAGAUUAGAAAAAAUUGUUCGUAGUAAAAUCGUCUAUGUAACAAUUUUCAUAAUUUAUAAUAAAUAAUAAAUGUAUAUGGCAAAAAAAAACUGAGAUUAUUGAUUUAAAUUUUUGAUAGGUCGGUUCAAUACUUUUAAGACUGAGCUUCUACUAAUUUCUGGAACCUUAAUU
rnacentral:sRNA from 1 species